rnacentral:rRNA from 1 species
UACAGAGGUCCCAAGCGUUACUGAGAAUCACUGGGUUUAAAGGGUGCGUAGGUGGUCCGUUAAGUCAGUUGUGAAAUCCCCGGGCUCAACCAGGGAACUGCUUCUGAUACUGGCGGACUUGAGGCCAGUAGAGGUCACUGGAACUGACGGUGGAGCGGUGAAAUGCGUAGAUAUCGUCAGGAACGCCGGUGGUGAAGACGGGUGACUGGGCUGGUUCUGACACUGAGGCACGAAAGCGUGGGGAGCGAACGGG